CCAGACUCCUACGGGAGGCAGCAGUGAGGAAUAUUGGUCAAUGGGCGAGAGCCUGAACCAGCCAAGUAGCGUGCAGGAUGACGGCCCUAUGGGUUGUAAACUGCUUUUAUGCGGGGAUAAAGUGAGGGACGUGUCCUUCAUUGCAGGUACCGCAUGAAUAAGGACCGGCUAAUUCCGUGCCAGCAGCCGCGGUAAUACGGAAGGUCCGGGCGUUAUCCGGAUUUAUUGGGUUUAAAGGGAGCGUAGGCCGUGGAUUAAGCGUGUUGUGAAAUGCAGGUGCUCAACGUCCGCACUGCAGCGCGAACUGGUCCACUUGAGUGUGCGCAACGCAGGCGGAAUUCGUCGUGUAGCGGUGAAAUGCUUAGAUAUGACGAAGAACUCCGAUUGCGAAGGCAGCUUGCGGGAGCACAACUGACGCUGAAGCUCGAAAGUGCGGGUAUCGAACAGGAUUAGAUACCCUGGUAGUCCGCACGGUAAACGAUGGAUGCCCGUUGUCAGGCUGUUUCAGCCUGGUGACCAAGCGAAAGCAUUAAGCAUCCCACCUGGGGAGUACGCCGGCAACGGUGAAACUCAAAGGAAUUGACGGGGGCCCGCACAAG
rnacentral:rRNA from 1 species